GUGCCAGCAGCCGCGUAAUACGUAGGUGGCAAGCGUUAUCCGGAAUUAUUGGGCGUAAAGCGCGCGUAGGCGGUUUUUUAAGUCUGAUGUGAAAGCCCACGGCUCAACCGUGGAGGGUCAUUGGAAACUGGAAAACUUGAGUGCAGAAGAGGAAAGUGGAAUUCCAUGUGUAGCGGUGAAAUGCGCAGAGAUAUGGAGGAACACCAGUGGCGAAGGCGACUUUCUGGUCUGUAACUGACGCUGAUGUGCGAAAGCGUGGGGAUCAAACAGGAUUAGA
rnacentral:rRNA from 1 species